rnacentral:lncRNA from 1 species
CGCCCGACGACGCGGGAGCCGCACGCGCCGGACGAGGCUCGCUGCGCUCCCUGUUGCCCAGCGCGGGCCCGUUGAGGCGGAGCCCUCAGUUCCCGGCCAGGACACGGUCUGGGCCGCCGAAUCUCCGGCCGAAGAGCGGCGGCGGCAGCGGCGGGAAAAAAAUGAAGAAUGAAAUUGCUGCCGUUGUCUUCUUUUUCACAAGGCUAGUUCGAAAACAUGAUAAGUUGAAAAAAGAGGCAGUUGAGAGGUUUGCUGAGAAAUUGACCCUAAUACUUCAAGAAAAAUAUAAAAAUCACUGGUAUCCAGAAAAACCAUCGAAAGGACAGGCCUACAGGUAAAGGAUUAGAUUGGAUUAAGCAGAGGCUGAUCAACCCCUGAGGUGGGUUCAAGGCCGGAUGAUUGAAGGGUGUGCAGACCAUGCCUACAGGUGUUUCAUCUGCAAAAUAUAGAACUCUGGGGUGUUUGUAUAUUUUCUCCUUACUCAUUUUAAAACAAGUAUUUGUUGGCGGAGUGGUGGAGUCCCACUGCCUG